UUCUAUUUUGGUUCAGUCCAUUGAUUGUGAAAUUUGUAAAUAAGUAUGAGUUUCAGAAUGACAUGUAUCUAUCAAAUCACCUUUCAUCUUUUAUUCACUAUUAAUAUUUAACCUUGCAGUUAACAGUCACUGGUGUGAUAGUCAGAGAGGUAAUAAUUAGAUUGAUGUACUGCACUCAUCCCUCAGAUGAGUGUUGUUGGUUUGUACUUAUCAAAUCUACUUGAUGUAACAACCUUAUUAGAAGAUUGGAUUGGUAUAUAAACAUAUAAGAACUUCA